AGAGCGCAUCCCGAAAAGUGUGAAACGGUUUUCGGAAAAGAUGCGCGU
rnacentral:misc_RNA from 1 species